rnacentral:rRNA from 1 species
GAGAUCAGAAGCGAGAAUGUUGACAUGAGUAGCGACAAACAGGGUGAGAAACCCUGUCGCCGAAAGUCCAAGGGUUCCUACUUAAAGCUAAUCUGAGCAGGGUAAGCCGGCCCCUAAGGCGAGGCCGAAAGGCGUAGUCGAUGGGAACCAGGUUAAUAUUCCUGGGCCAGUGGGAUGUGACGGGUCGCAGAUGUAGUUUGCCCUUAUCGGAUUGGGUGGGCUGCUGAGCGGUUCCAGGAAAUAGCCCCACAUCAGACCGUACCCUAAACCGACACAGGUGGACUGGUAGAGUAUACCAAGGCGCUUGAGAGAACCACGUUAAAGGAACUCGGCAAAAUGCCUCCGUAAGUUCGCGAGAAGGAGGCCCCAUAUGUACGCAAGUAUGUGUGGGGGGCACAAACCAGGGGGUGGCGACUGUUUACUUAAAACACAGGGCUGUGCGAAGCCGUAAGGCGACGUAUACAGUCUGACGCCUGCCCGGUGCUGGAAGAUUAAGAGGAGGGGUGCAAGCUCUGAAUUGAAGUCCCAGUAAACGGCGGCCGUAACAAUAACGGUCCUAAGGUAGCGAAAUUCCUUGUCGGGUAAGUUCCGACCUGCACGAAUGGCGUAACGAUCUCCCCGCUGUCUCUAACGUGGACUCAGCGAAAUUGAACUGUCUGUCAAGAUGCAGACUACCCGCGGUUAGACGGAAAGACCCCAUGAACCUUUACUCCAGCUUUGCACUGGUAUCAGGAUUGUGAUGUGCAGGAUAGGUGGUAGGCAUUGAAGCGGGGACGCCAGUCUUCGUGGAGCCUCCCUUGAGAUACCACCCUUCGCCAUCUUGAUAUCUAACCGCGGCCCGUUAUCCGGGUCCGGGACCCUGCAUGGUGGGGAGUUUGACUGGGGCGGUCGCCUCCCAAAUUGUAACGGAGGCGCGCGAUGGUUGGCUCAGACCGGUCGGAAAUCGGUCGUUGAGUGCAAUGGCAGAAGCCAGCCUGACUGCAAGACUGACAAGUCGAGCAGAGACGAAAGUCGGUCAUAGUGAUCCGGUGGUCCCAAGUGGGAGGGCCAUCGCUCAACGGAUAAAAGGUACUCUGGGGAUAACAGGCUGAUGAUGCCCAAGAGUCCAUAUCGACGGCAUCGUUUGGCACCUCGAUGUCGGCUCAUCUCAUCCUGGGGCUGGAGCAGGUCCCAAGGGUAUGGCUGUUCGCCAUUUAAAGAGGUACGUGAGCUGGGUUUAGAACGUCGUGAGACAGUUCGGUCCCUAUCUGCCGUGGGUGCAGGAGACUUGAGAAGAGUUGACCCUAGUACGAGAGGACCGGGUUGAACGAACCACUGGUGGACCAGUUAUCGUGCCAACGGUAGUGCUGGGUAGCUAUGUUCGGACAGGAUAACCGCUGAAGGCAUCUAAGCGGGAAGCCCCCUUCAAAACAAGGUCUCCCUUGAGGGCCGUGGAAGACGACCACGUCGAUAGGCCAGAGGUGUAAGUGCAGCAAUGCAUUCAGCUGACUGGUACUAAUUGCCU